UACACAAUCAGAAGGGUUGUGUCAUAUCUGUUCUUAGCAACAAUUCCUUGUUUGGAUGUAGGUUGCUUUCCCGUAGGGGGAUAAAUCCCUCAAUGCCUCUCAUUCUCAAGUUCCUGAUGUGGAUACCGAUAGAUCUCUAUAUUAGGAUGAAGAUCACUAGAGUGAAAGAGAAAGAUGAUGCCAGCAUUCAGCCCUGAUCUCUGGCACUGAAAUUGGCAAGACAUCCCGUCCGAUGCAUGGGAAAGCAGCGGCACGCCGGCACCUGCUGUCUAAUUAUGAAUUUUUUUGUUUGUUUUUUUCGUAUUGCUACGCCAAACCAGCAAAACAAAAGGUCACAGAUCUGAUGUUACCUAAACUAAAAAAGUUUUAGCCGUUAAACUGUAUGAUUAGUUUUUAUUUUUAUCUAUAUUUAAUGCUUCAUGCA